ACAGAAGUCAAGGCAUGGAAAGGGUCAGGUGACUACCAUGCCCUUCUCACCUCCUGCUCCGGGGGACAGAGACCGCUCCGGUCUAGCCACCUCGAAAGCUGUUUACAUGGAAUCCAAGGGCUCUGCCAGGGGCAGAAGUUUUUCCCCCAGCUGCUGAGAAAGAUGAGCGACUCAAGGCAGAAUAACAAAAAGCCACUUCAAAAACACACCAGAAGAAGUACGAAGCUGAGACAAUCACAGGGCAAUAGAUCCCAUUGAAGAGGAGCCUGGAGUUGCAGGUAUUGGCGUAAGUCCCUCCAAUUGUCAUUCAGUUGCCAUGAGACUUUAGGAAAACCUCUUAAACCUGGGUCUGGCAGCCGAAGGCUGAUGCUACACUCUAUAACAGCUAAAACUUCAAUUCUGUUCUGUAUGAAGACCGACCACUACCCCCAGUGAAACCAUCGAGACCAUGGGAGCCCAGGGCAACCGUCCAGGUGUCUUGCUCGGCACGUGCGUCUGUCUCAGCUGACUUCACUCUGCCAAUCAGCCUGAGUCUGAGGAAGCCCCAAGAAACUGUAGUACACCACCAGAAGUUUUUUUGGUGUGUUUCUCUUUUUGGAGUCCCGACAAAUGUAGCUCAACUACUCAGUGUAAGGUGGAUCAAUAUAUGUGUGUCAUUAGCAAAGACUCUGUCAUCACGCGUCCUUUCACGUGUUUGCUUUAGCAGAACAUCCUUUCUUCUGUGUCUCCUUCGGUGAAACAUUUCUUCACGAGUUUGCCUUAGUCUUACAUCUGUGUCUGCUUCAGGAAAAUACACUUUCAUGUGUUUGCCCUAGCAAAACACCAUCGAACAUGACUGAUUCUCUUAAGAGAAUUCUCUUAAGAACCCUUAAGUUACCCCUUCAGCCUAGUGAUAAAUAAUUGGAUUAAAAAGUUUAAGAUUUAUUAUAUAACUUAUAAUAGUCUAGAAAUAAUUUAGAUUAUAGACAUCUAAGGAUAUAAAAUCUAAAUAAACUAUGAGAAUGUAAGAAAAUGA